GUGGAGACCCGGACUGGCGCCGGCGCCAGCUGGAGGGAGACGCCCCCGGGCAAGAGGUGGCAUUUUUUUUCCUCCGGGGGGGGUCCCCGAGGUGGCCUCUGGUGAGGGGGAGGCGGUGGUCUGAGGUCUCCGUCUUCUAAGUCACCUGGAAGUGCUCCCCACUCACUUCUAGCCCGGAGAUCGGCUCUAUGGUUCGUGUGGGCCGGGCGCACAAGUCUUCCUCCCUCCCAUUGUACAGACUGGGGAGACGGAGGCUCGAAGGGAGCCCCGGGCCGAGGAGGGAGGUCCAGGACAAAGGCAUUUUGGGGGACCUAGACAGGUGCCGAGUACUGGGGGGACUCAACAGCGUCCUCCAGCCCUCUUCCCUGUUGGGCCCGAGGCUCCCGGGGUAGAUGUCCAGAGGGCCCCCAGCUUACGAUUCUUCAUCAACUCGUAAAAUGAGAUCGCCGCGGAGCUCGAGCCUAUUUGGCGUCUCCGGAGACUAGCAAGACCCUCUGAAAGACACCGCGUCCCCAGGGAUAAUCCCCCGUGUCCGGCAAAGCUGCCCCGCUCGAGCGCGAACCCUGGGACCCAGCGCGGGAGGCAGACCAGCAGCUGGCCGCUGGGCUGUGAACGCCAGGACCGAGCGGAAGCUUCCCGCCCGGCCGCGAUCGGUGCCGCGGCUCUCAGGGAAGUGGCUACGCGCGUCCCUCGGGAAAGCAGUAACAAUGUUGGCAUGGCUGUUUUUGUUUCUGCUCAGCCCCAGCCUGGUCCUCACCAUCUCCUUCCACCUGCCCAUUAACUCCUGAAAGUUCCUCCAUGAGGAGAUCCACAAGGACCUGCUAGUGAUGGGUGCGUACGAGAUCUCCAACAAGUCUGGGGGUGCUGGCAGCCUGCACAGCCACCUCAAGGUCACAGAUUCUGCUGGCCACAUUCUCUACUCCAAAGAGGAUGCAACCAAAGGGAAAUUUGCCUUUAUCCUGGAAGAUUAUGACAUGUUUGAAGUGUGAUUUGAGAGCAAGGAAACAGGGUGGAUACCUGAUCAAUUCGUAAUCCUAGACAUGAAGCAUGGAGUAGAGGCAGAAAAGAAAUUACAAGGAGAUUACAAAAGUCGAGAAGCUUAAACCGUUAUAGAUGGAGCUGCAAUGCCUAGAAGACCUGUCAGAAUCUAUUGUUAAUGAUUUUGCUACGUGAAGAAGAGAGAGAUGUGUAGUACUAAUGAAUCAACAAACACUUGAGCCCUGUACUUCAGUGUCUCUUUAAUGUUCUGCUUCAUUGGACUAGCCACCUGGCAGGUUUUCUACCUGUGUUGCUUCUUCAAGGCCAAGAUGUCGAUUGAGUAAUGAACGAAGUGCACUCUCCUCCCACCUUGUAUCUCAGGCAGCAGAACAUCACUGGGCAUCCUACCAAAAGCACCAUCAAAAUGCACUGGAGCCCUCUUGCCAGAACUGAUCUCUUGGUGGGGGAGGACAUGGGUACCACCUACCCAACAAGUCAAUGAGAGAUUUCUUUUUAGCUGGUAGUAUUUGGACUUGUUUUGCAACAAUAGGACCAGUAUUAGAGUCACCUAUGACCAAAAAUAAGGGUUACCAAAUAAUGCCAAAGCCAGGAUUUGUGCUGGGUUUCCUUGUGCGAUCUGUUUGAACCAAGUUUUCUUUCCUUCUCCCGCUUUCUCGGCAGCUUGAAUUUCCACUCUAGUUCUUUUACCCAGAUUGGUAUGGCCAUGUUGAACUUGUUUCCUUCUGGUUGUCUUCUUUGGGUUUCCUUGUGAAAACACCCUUAACUUUCCUUUUGCCUUUAGCUGAAAUGUUUACAUAGCUUCUGGUGAUAUCUUCUCAUAAUUUUAUGUCUCUUAAAAGGUUGACGGAUGUGACACUUCAAAAAGUGAGCUUUGAACUGAAGAUAACUCUUAAAGAAAAUAUCAUUUUAGACAAUUAAAAUAUUUAUGCUCCAAAAAGAUAUAAUUUACAUAUCACUUUUUCACUGUUUUUAUGGCUAAAUAAAAUUACAUGGCAUCAACAUUCCAUACUUUGCCCAUCCAUUCAUCAGUUGGUGGACAUUUGGAUUGUUUAUAUCCUUUAGCUAUUAGGAAUAAUGCUGCUUUGAACAUAAUGUAAGUUUUUGUUUGAACAUUUGUUUUCAGUUCUCUUGGAUAUAUACCUAGGAGCAGAAGAUGGGUCAUAUGGUAGCUUCAUGUUUAACUUUUCAAGAAACUGCCUGCUUGUUUCCAAAAUGGCUGCACCAUCUUACAUUCCCCAGAAGCAACGCAAGAGGGUUCCAAUGCUUCAACAUCCUCACCAUUGCUAUCGUCCAUCUUUAUUACAGCCACCCUAGCGGAUGUAAAGUGGUGUCUCACUGUAGCUUUGAUGUGCAUUUUCUGAUGCACAUCAUUUUACUGAUGCUGAGCAUUAUUUCAUGUGUUUGUUGCCACUUGUCUAUCUUCUUUGGAGAAAUGCCCAUUCAAGUCUUUUGUCCAUUUAAAAAAUUGGAUUAUUUGUCUUUUUAUUGUUGAGUUUAAGGAGUUCUUUAUAUAUUCUAGACACUAGACCUUCAUCAGAGAUAUGACUUGCAAAUAUUUUCUCCCAUUCCGCGGCUUGUCUUUUCAUUUUAUUGAUAGUGUUUUUGAAACACGAAGUUUUAAAUAUUGAUGAAGUACAAUUUAUCUGGCUUUCCUCCCCUUUGGUUGCUUGUGCUUUUGGUGUCAUAUCUACGAAUGCUUGCCUAGCUCAGAGAUUUGUGCCUAUGCUUUUUUCUAAGCAGCAGUGAUCCAAUCAAAGCCACAUUGCAAAAAAGACCCGCAGCUGACUGUGGUGUGGCCAGUAAAUGGAGAGGGCAAAGGAGCAGGUAUGGGGAGGUCAGUGAGGACACUGUGGCAGUGGUCAGGGAAACAGACAGACAGAUGAUAGCAGCUUGGUCCAGAGUGGUGGCAGUAGGAAUGGAAAGAAUUGGGCAGAUUUCUGAAUUAUUAAGGAAGACAAACCUCAGAACUGAGUCUUCCAUCUCCACCGUCCACCCACGUUACUCCUCCUCAGUCUCCUAACACACUUUUUUUAAAAAGAAAAAACUACUGAGGUGUAUUUUACAUGUCAUAAAACUCAUCCAUUUCAAGUAUAGAAUUCAACAACUUGUGGUAACAAAUACAAUAUGUGGCCUUUUGUGACUGGCUUCUUUCAAUUAGCUUAAUGUUUUCAAGGUUCAUCAUGUUGGAGCAUGUAAAUGGGCUUCAUUCCUUUUCAUAGCUGCAUAAUGUUUCAUUAUGCCACAUACUGUUUAUCCAUUCAUCAGUUGAUGAGCAUUUGGGUUGUUUCUACUCUUUGACUAUUAUGAAUAAUGCUGCUAAGAACAUUAAUGUACAAGUUUCUGUGUGGACAUAUGCUUUCAUUUCUCUUAUUUUCAUUUUAUUCCACCUAGGAGUGGAAUUGCUGGGUUGUAUGGUAGUGUUAUGUUUAACUGUUUGAGAAACCACCAAAUUAUUUUUGUUUUCUUUUUAAGAUGAGGUCUCGCUAUGUUGCCCAGGCUGGUCUUGAACUCCUGGCCUCAAGUGAUCCUCCCACCUCAGCAUCCCAAAGCGCUGGGAUUACAGGCAUGAGGCAUGCCACCAUUACACACCCGGCCAGCCACCAAAUUAUUUUCCAAAGCAGCUACACCACCUUACAUUCCCACCAGCAGUGUAUGAGCAUUCCCAUCUCUCUACACCCUCGACAGUAAUUUUGGUCUGUCUAAUUUACUAUAGCCAUUCUAGUGGGUAAGAACUCACACACACUUCUGCUUCUUCUUGGCAAUGCAUCCAUGUGGAGCCAUGCUGGGGCUUUCCAGGACUGGCUGACUUUCACCUCCACUUGUAGAAAGAAGGGACAUAUCUGGCAAUACUGUAGCCCCAGAGCUUGGUCCAGGGCCUAGAACUAAGGAUGCACCCCUGAAUGGCUCCUGGAUGGAUAAUGGGCUGGGUGAGGGAGGUACAUGGUGAGGGGGAUACUGGUUUCAGUGCAAUUGGAGCUCAGUGAUAUCUGAGAAGUCUGGGGGCUGGGAGGGGAGAUGUGCAUAUCUAAGGACACCACCCACCGUAUGAUAGGGUAUAGAAGAGGCAGGGUAACCUGUGUAGAAAAUCAGCUCCCAGCCUCCUGCUCGGACCUUACCCUCAAGGAAUGCAGAACCCCCUGUGUAUCCCUUUCUCCUCCUGAUAUAGUUUAGAUAUUUAUCCCCACCAAAUCUUCAUGUUGAAUUGUAAUCCCAGUGUUGCAGAUGGGGCCUGGUGGGAGGAGUUUUGGUCAUGGGGGUGGACCCCUCAUGGCUUGGUGCUGUCCUCACUGUAGUAAGUUCUCACAAGAUCUAAUUGUUUAGGUGUGUGCCACCUACCCCCUCCCACUCUCUCUCUCUUUUGCUCCUGCUUUUGCUAUAUGAGGUACCUGAUCCUGCUUCACCGUCCACCAUGACUGUAAGCUUCUUGAGGCCUCCCCAGAAGCCAAGCAGAUGCCAGCACCAUGCUUGUACAGCCUGCAGAACCAUGAACCAAUUAAACCUCUUUUCUUUAUAAAUUACC
rnacentral:lncRNA from 1 species